GACGAACGCUGGCGGCGUGCUUAACACAUGCAAGUCGAACGAAGUGGCGAACGGGUGAGUAACACGUGAGUAACCUGCCCUCUUCUUUGGGAUAACGGUCGGAAACGGCUGCUAAUACUGGAUCGUGGGGGAUGGGCUCGCGGCCUAUCAGCUUGUUGGUGGGGUGAUGGCCUACCAAGGCUUUGACGGGUAACCGGCCUGAGAGGUGGACCGGGCACAUUGUGACGGAGGUCCGGCCCAGACUCCUACGGGUGGCAGCAGGGGGGAAUGUGGGACAAUGGGUGCCAGCCUGAUGCAGCGACGGCGCGGGAGGGAUGAAGGCCUUCGGGUUGUAAACCUUUUUCGCUCAUGGUCGGGUAGUGAGUAAAGAAGCGACGGCUAACUACGUGCCAGCAGCCGCGGUAAUAC
rnacentral:rRNA from 1 species